CUGGCGGCAGGCCUAACACAUGCAAGUCGAGCGCGCCUUCGGGUGAGCGGCGGACGGGUUAGUAACGCGUGGGAACGUACCCUUUUCUACGGAAUAGCCUUUGGAAACGAAGAGUAAUACCGUAUACGCCCUUUGGGGGAAAGAUUUAUCGGAGAAGGAUCGGCCCGCGUUAGAUUAGAUAGUUGGUGGGGUAACGGCCUACCAAGUCUACGAUCUAUAGCUGGUUUUAGAGGAUGAUCAGCAACACUGGGACUGAGACACGGCCCAGACUCCUACGGGAGGCAGCAGUGGGGAAUCUUAGACAAUGGGCGCAAGCCUGAUCUAGCCAUGCCGCGUGAGUGAUGAAGGCCUUAGGGUCGUAAAGCUCUUUCUCCUGUGAUGAUAAUGACCGUAGCAGGUAAAGAAACCCCGGCUAACUCCGUGCCCGCAGCCGC
rnacentral:rRNA from 1 species